rfam:Salmo salar isolate Sally breed double haploid chromosome ssa18, whole genome shotgun sequence.
AAUGCACUAACCUGUAAGACUCUCUGGAUAAGAGUGUCUGCUAAAUGCCUAACA